AAUGAACGUUGGCGGCAUGGAUUAGGCAUGCAAGUCGGGGGAAUCCCAGCAAUGGGGGAACCGGCGUAAGGGGCAGUAAGGCAUGGGUACCUACCUUGGGGUUCGGGAUAGCCAUCAGAGAUGGUGGGUAAUACCGGAUGACGUCGUGAGACCAAAGAUUUAUCGCCCUUAGAGGGGCCCAUGUGAUAUUAGCUAGUUGGUGGGGUAACGGCCCACCAAGGCGAAGAUGUCUAGCGGGUGUGAGAGCACGACCCGCGCCACUCGCACUGAGACGCUGGCGAGACACCUACGGGUGGCUGCAGUCGAGGAUCUUCGGCAAUGAGCGCAAGCGUGACCGAGCGAUGCCGCGUGAGCGAUGAAGGCCUUCGGGUUGUAAAGCUCUCUAGUGGGGGAGAAAAGCCGCAAGGUGUGAUCUAUCCCAAAAAUAAGCACGGGCUAAGUUCGUGCCAGCAGCCGCAGUAA
rnacentral:rRNA from 1 species